UACGUAGGGGGCAAGCGUUGUCCGGAUUUAUUGGGCGUAAAGCGCGUGUAGGCGGCCCGGUAAGUCCGCUGUGAAAGUCGGGGGCUCAACCCUCGAAUGCCGGUGGAUACUGUCGGGCUAGAGUGCGGGAGAGGCGAGUGGAAUUCCUGGUGUAGCGGUGAAAUGCGCAGAUAUCAGGAGGAACACCAAUUGCGAAGGCAGCUCGCUGGAACGUAACUGACGCUGAGACGCGAAAGCGUGGGGAGCAAACAGG
rnacentral:rRNA from 1 species